rnacentral:rRNA from 1 species
CCUACGGGGGGCAGCAGUGAGGAAUAUUGGUCAAUGGGCGGGAGCCUGAACCAGCCAAGUCGCGUGAGGGAAGACGGUCCUAUGGAUUGUAAACCUCUUUAGGCGGGGAGCAAUGCCGGGCACGCGUGCCCGGAGGGAGAGUACCCGCAGAAUAAGCAUCGGCUAACUCCGUGCCAGCAGCCGCGGUAAUACGGAGGAUGCGAGCGUUAUCCGGAUUUACUGGGUGUAAAGGGCGUGUAGGCGGGACUGCAAGUCAGAUGUGAAAAUUAUGGGCUCAACCCAUAACCUGCAUUUGAAACUGUAGU